AGUGAACGCUGGCGGUAGGCCUAACACAUGCAAGUCGAACGGCAGCACAGUAAGAGCUUGCUCUUACGGGUGGCGAGUGGCGGACGGGUGAGGAAUACAUCGGAAUCUACUUUUUCGUGGGGGAUAAUGUAGGGAAACUUACGCUAAUACCGCAUACGACCUACGGGUGAAAGCAGGGGAUCUUCGGACCUUGCGCGAUUGAAUGAGCCGAUGUCGGAUUAGCUAGUUGGCGGGGUAAAGGCCCACCAAGGCGACGAUCCGUAGCUGGUCUGAGAGGAUGAUCGGCCACACUGGAGCUGGGACACGGUCCAGACUCCUACGGGAGGCAGCAGUGGGGAAUAUUGGACAGUGGGCGCAAGCCUGAUCCAGCCAUACCGCGUGGGUGAAGAAGGCCUUCGGGUUGUAAAGCCCUUUUGUUGGGAAAGAAAAGCAGCAGGUUAAUACCCCGCUGUUCUGACGGUACCCAAAGAAUAAGCACCGGCUAACUUCGUG
rnacentral:rRNA from 1 species